AUGAACGCUAGCUACAGGCUUAACACAUGCAAGUCGAGGGGCAGCAUUUCAGUUUGCUUGCAAACUGGAGAUGGCGACCGGCGCACGGGUGAGUAACACGUAUCCAACCUGCCGAUAACUCGGGGAUAGCCUUUCGAAAGAAAGAUUAAUACCCGAUGGCAUAAUUAGACCGCAUGGUCUUAUUAUUAAAGAAUUUCGGUUAUCGAUGGGGAUGCGUUCCAUUAGGCAGUUGGUGAGGUAACGGCUCACCAAACCUUCGAUGGAUAGGGGUUCUGAGAGGAAGGUCCCCCACAUUGGAACUGAGACACGGUCCAAACUCCUACGGGAGGCAGCAGUGAGGAAUAUUGGUCAAUGGGCGCAGGCCUGAACCAGCCAAGUAGCGUGAAGGAUGACUGCCCUAUGGGUUGUAAACUUCUUUUAUAUGGGAAUAAAGUUUUCCACGUGUGGAAUUUUGUAUGUACCAUAUGAAUAAGGAUCGGCUAACUCCGUGCCAGCAGCCGCGGUAAUACGGAGGAUCCGAGCGUUAUCCGGAUUUAUUGGGUUUAAAGGGAGCGUAGGUGGACAGUUAAGUCAGUUGUGAAAGUUUGCGGCUCAACCGUAAAAUUGCAGUUGAUACUGGCUGUCUUGAGUACAGUAGAGGUGGGCGGAAUUCGUGGUGUAGCGGUGAAAUGCUUAGAUAUCACGAAGAACUCCGAUUGCGAAGGCAGCUCACUGGACUGCAACUGACACUGAUGCUCGAAAGUGUGGGUAUCAAACAGGAUUAGAUACCCUGGUAGUCCACACAGUAAACGAUGAAUACUCGCUGUUUGCGAUAUACAAUAAGCGGCCAAGCGAAAGCAUUAAGUAUUCCACCUGGGGAGUACGCCGGCAACGGUGAAACUCAAAGGAAUUGACGGGGGCCCGCACAAGCGGAGGAACAUGUGGUUUAAUUCGAUGAUACGCGAGGAACCUUACCCGGGCUUAAAUUGCAUUUGAAUAUAUUGGAAACAGUAUAGCCGUAAGGCAAAUGUGAAGGUGCUGCAUGGUUGUCGUCAGCUCGUGCCGUGAGGUGUCGGCUUAAGUGCCAUAACGAGCGCAACCCUUAUCUUUAGUUACUAACAGGUCAUGCUGAGGACUCUAGAGAGACUGCCGUCGUAAGAUGUGAGGAAGGUGGGGAUGACGUCAAAUCAGCACGGCCCUUACGUCCGGGGCUACACACGUGUUACAAUGGGGGGUACAGAAGGCAGCUACCUGGUGACAGGAUGCUAAUCCCAAAAGCCUCUCUCAGUUCGGAUCGAAGUCUGCAACCCGACUUCGUGAAGCUGGAUUCGCUAGUAAUCGCGCAUCAGCCAUGGCGCGGUGAAUACGUUCCCGGGCCUUGUACACACCGCCCGUCAAGCCAUGAAAGCCGGGGGUACCUGAAGUACGUAACCGCAAGGAGCGUCCUAGGGUAAAACUGGUAAUUGGGGCU
rnacentral:rRNA from 1 species